GUGAAGGGUGGGCAGGAGAAGAGGUCUUAAAUUUAGCUAAAGUAAAUGUUUUUAAGGUGUUUUAGUGUGAUGUAGGAGUGCUUCGUGUAAGCAAACCCAAGUAAAUUAGCAAAACUUGCUAGUAGGACAAUUCUUUUCAGCUGAGGACUGCAGUUAAUAAGAGAGGGCUCCACCUAGGAAGCCUUGCUUAAAAGUAGUUAAUUAUCACUCCUUGUGCUUUGCUUGUUCAGUGGGAUAAUAGAGUUGUGCUUAAAAUGUGACUAUAUAAGCAAGGUUAGGCAAGAACAUUUAAGCAAAGUAUCUAUUCAUAUAGGCCUAUGCUGUGACUCUAAAAGAAGACAUGUACCUAGCUCAACUACUGUGAAACCAGGCUUUUGCAAAUUAACAACAGAAGAUGUUGUAAUUCAGGAAGAAUUCCACAGCAGAAGCCCGACACUGAUGCCUUCUGGAGGAGCAUCUUUGUUUUUCUGUUCCUUCAUACCAUGAAGCACCUGGCACCAAGCAGAAGACUGAGAACAGGCAUGUUUCAUCUAACGGUGGUCAUUUUCAAACAUUGAGAUUCGUGAAUAUCAGAUACACCUAGCAAGCAGGACCAGAGGAAAAACAUCAAGCCAUUUUCCAUUUGACAGCUUUGAAUCUGCUCACUCCACCCCUAUGGUUGCACUGUGCUGUCUCAUGGACUACUCCUGCACUCAGGCUUUAAGAAAUCUACCGUAAGACCGGUAAGAAGGGAACUGACCCCAUGGACAAUGACGUAAGCCAAUGGUGAUAUGGCAGUAGAAACUUAUUUUUGUCUUUUCAGUGUCUAUGAAGAUAAUUACUUGUGAUCAUCUCAAUAGCAAAGAAUUUUUUCCACCACAAUUUAAAAACUCUAUCUUAGGAGAAUAUUUCAAGAGUCAUUUAAUAAGUGUUACAGUUCACUGAAUCUUGAACUGCUGCUGCAGUCAGUUUUCAUUACGUUGUUUUCUUUUGACUUUAAGUUUCCAACCCAUUCCAUUUCAGAAGCGCACAACAGCCUUCUUCUGAACUGAGAAACAGUUUAUUGAUAUAACUGUAAAAGGAAAGAAAAAGCUUAAAGAUUACCAAAUGCUGUAACAAUUAAGGAGGUGUUUACGAAGCAUUUUUGAAAAGCUAAGAAUAGUAUAUAUAUUUUCUAUUGGUAUCCGUUAAGAAAGCAACUUUUCACAAAUCUAACUUGUGCAGAUGUUUUAUAUAUGUGCAAAAUCAAGAAAUGUUUGUUAUUUUCCAUAACAAGGGUUUACAGAACCUCAAAACAGUCUAAAAAAGGUGAUUAUAUUUUGAAAACUGGACAUUGUCAGGAAGUGGUUUAAGGAAAUAUAAAUGACCUGCCUUCAUCAACAACUGUUAUGGAAAAAUUUAACAUGUACUACAGAUAGACUACUGUCAAAUGCUGAUUUACCAAAAUAGGGAUGAGAAGUACGUAGCACAAUAUCAGUUCCUCAAAAUCUUAACUUUAAACAUGUGCUUUUGUGUUCUGCUGGAGUCAGCCCUUGCACAUCCUCAUGUUGACAGGAUAAACAUUUCCACAAAAUGAUUCCACAAAAUCCUGACUGAAGUAGACACAGUGAAAGCACCUAUAGUGAAUUUGUUGCAAUUUAAAUCUCUUUAUGAUAAUAAGCUAUUGACACAUGCUAAAAUCAGACCAGUCUCUCUUGAUUUCAAGGAAGCAUGUGAUCUGCCUGGAUCUAAAGAAAACAUCGUAGAUUAUCUUUAUGGAACUCUUCUGAUCUUGUUUUGAAAUAAAAACUAAUGUGGCAAUAUAUACAGCAAUUACUACCCCCACUUAAUGAAAAUCAUUAAUUUAAUGAAAAUCGCUAGAUUUCUUUACUAAUGUCUUCAGCGUAAUGGCAAAAAAAAAAAAAAAGAUGGUCUUAAGACUACUGAAGACCUCAAUCUUCUACUACAGAAAUAGUGCAGAUUUCUCCCCUGGUAUUACUUCUUAUCCCUGAUAUCUAAGACAGAGUACCAUUGGUGGAAGAAUAUUUUGUUCUUAGAUUUAUUUCUGACAACUAGUAACAGUUUCAUAAAAAUACUGGUAUAUGCUCACUAUAAUCUGCACUAAAGCUCUUAACAGCCUCAGAUCACACCCAAGCGUUCUUUAAAGACCAGGGUGACCUGUUCAGGCCGACUGAUGAUGGAGAGGCUCUACCUGGUACUGCGGACCCCACUGCUGGCCACUGCUCAAAGAGCCCAUCGCUUUGCUCCACCUGUGCAGGAUGGAGCGCGCACUCUGAAUGCGCUUCUAAAUUAUCAAGAUGAGAGUCUGUUAAUGGCUGCAAAGAAAGUUCAGAUGGGAUUGUGAAAUUUCAGAAAACAGCAGCCAGAAGAGGUUCACUUCCUACAGGAAAGAGAGCAAGAACAGGCUGUAAUUGCUGGCUACUAUUGUUUCUAAUCAGAGGACCACUAAGUGCCUAUAAUUGCUGCCAGCUGCUCAGCAGAGGUCAAAAAGGCAAUCUGAAUGUUAGGAAUUACUACAGCAGAAAUAAAGAACAAAACAGAUAAAAUUGUUUUGCCACUGUGUGGAUCCUAACUGGAAAGGCAGCAUAGAUAGCACUUGAAAAAGGAUGUUCCAAAGUACAGAACAGCUUCCAUACAAAAAUUACUCCAUAGGAGCCACCAGCUCUGUUUCCCCAGAUCCUCCUUUUUGCCUUAAUGGAAGGUGUGCGUGAUGUUUGCCUUAUUUGGCCAUCAUGAAUCUCCCUUGUUCACUAUGACCUUUCAAAGGUAAUAAAGAGUGGCCUCAUAAUGACACCAAAAAGCUUCCUAGUACAAUAAUUCUUAAAUUUCUCUGCUCCAGGACACUCCAAAGUCUCAGUACACACACUUGUCCCACAGGAGGUAAUGACGUAAGCUGCUUUCAACUCAGACCCCUUUGUCAGAAAGGAAAUGCCCACCAAAACAGUGUAAAAGGCUGUUAAAAAAUGCAGGUUUGUCUUUAGCCAUCUAAUUACAGAGUUUCCACAAAUGGUAAUACAAACUAGAACUAUACAAGAUAAAAUUUUCUUACAGAACUUCUCUGCAAUGGUGAAAUUCCUCUCCCUUCCUUGACAAGUACAACAUGCAAGGUGGGAAAAGGGAAGUGUCUGUCACAACAAGAGAGUGAACAGAAGCUAAAAAAUGAAAGCCUAAAGCUUAACGCAGCUGUGAGGAAAUAAUUUUAUUAAUUUAUUGGUAAAUUCAGUUACAAAGAAAACAUCAUCCAAGAAUGUCUUCAGAGGCUAUCGCCAUUACAAUAUUUUGUCAUGCCUGAACGUGGCUUCAUAGAUGCAACCAAGGCUGAGACAAUCCUGAUGACAAUUCUUAAAUUUGUGUAGCUCACAAUAAAAUGUUUGUUCCCAAUAUAAUUUUGAACAUAUGUAUCUAUAUGGAGUGCAAAAUCACAACUCUGUGCCACAGCAUUAGUUUUUUACUACAGAUCCACUAGAAAAUGUUCAUCCUCUCCACCAAAAUUAAGUAUUCUCUUCCCACUUAGCCCUUCUUUCUCACCACUUCCAUAUAUUACAGAUUUUUUCAGAUUUUUUUGUUCAUUUUCUUGAUUUCCCUAUGAGUCAGACAUAUGGGUUAAAAAGUAGUUACAGUACAGAAGCCAUCUUCCUAGACUGUGACAAUGCUACAGUGGGUUGUAUUUCCAACAAAGACCAGCUUUAAAGAAAUCUUUGCAGGUUUAUUUGGGAAUAAGGAGGGAAUCUGAUUGUAAUCUGACCAGUUGAACAGGGAUUAUAGAACAGCAUGCUUUAGUUAAUACUUUUCUUUAAAUUUCAAAUGCAAUUCCAUAUGAACAAAAAAGUAACAUGUGGCUUUGUGAGACAAAAAAGCCACUCUGUGCUGAGAUCAUAUGUAUAGAAAGCAAACAGGCUUUAAAAAUCUUAAAGCCUUUAUAAACAGUCAGAAAUACUUUAAAAUUCAGAAUGAUCUCUCAAGUCUACUCUUUCAUACAUAUGGCAAACAUUAAAAGCACACAUGAAAAUGUAAAGAAACUUUUGUUUUAAUACUGUUAAGAUUCACCAGAGGUCUUUUAGAAAUAAAAUUACACAGGGAGUUACUUCAGAACUGCUUGAAUUUCUGCUAAAAACAAACACAAAUAGUAAUUUUGGCUUCAUUUACCUUAGUGUAUAGGACUUUCAUUUAUAAAUUACAGUAGUGCCAGUGCCUACCUUAGGGGAAGGAAAAAAACUUUUGUAGAAAUCUGCAUAUAUUAUAUGUGUAUUAUAUAUGUAAAUAUACAGCUUUCUACUGCCUUACUGAUUCCAUGCCUCCUCACCCCAGCAUUUGUUAAUAUCUAUCUGUAGUCCUCUGUUAUUUCCAAUUUUUUUCCAAUAUUUCCAGGAACCAUUUAUGUCCUGUCUUUGUACAAUGCGUACAGUUACAGGGGUUUGAUCUACAAAAAUGAAAAUCUACAAAAUUAAAAUCUUAGAUGAAGAGACAAAGAUGGCAAACAUGGUAUUGCAAUUAUGUGAUAAGGCUGUAAUAUACAAGUAAAUAGACUCAGGGUUUGAGGCCAAUCAAAGAGAGAAUAUUCAGUAAUUCCUGAAGUAAUAUAUUUAUUUGUUAUUUUCUCCUAGAUCUUCCUUAAGAAAUAGCUUUAACUGUUACUUUUAUCAUGCAUAAAUGUUUAUGUCAAGAUUUUACAUAUCAAAAACAAGUUUAUGUAAUUAUCUCCUCAUGAGGGAGACACUUCAGUACACAAGGAAAAGUUAGUUCUCCCCUUGGAGAAAAAAUGUUUAGUUAAUUUCCAAGAUUGUGACAGUUUGGAUAGACACACUGCAAUUAACUUAUUAGUUAAAAUAGAAAACAAAGGAUAAGAGUAAAUGAAGUUCCACAAGGAUUUUCAUAGAGGCUUAUGCUGUUUAAUAUAUUCAUGAAUGACCUAGAAAAGGGAGCAAACAGUAAGGAAACAAUGCUUACUCAUGCUAGAAAGUUAUGGUAGUAAUGCUAAGAGCUGACUGUGAGGAAUUUCAGAAGGCUCUUAUAGGACUGAGUGUCUGGAAAAUAAAAGGGUAAAUGAAACUUGGUGUCAGUAGAUGUAACUGGGGAAGUUCAAUUCUUCUGUUGCAUAUAUUGAAAAAAAUGACAGGUUCAGAACUCACUAUUUUCACUCCAGAACAGGUUUUGGCAUUAUGUUAGAUCCACGAAAACAUGGAUUCAGUGCUUAGGAACAGUCAGAAAUACCAAAUCAAAUAUUAGGAAAUACUGGGAAAGGGAUAGAGAACAUACUUAUGCCACUGUAGAAAUGCAGGGUUUGCCUGGACCUUGAAUACCUUCAAAAACAAGAACAAAAUGCUUUAUGUAUGAAGCCAAAGAAAACCAAAUUGAGAAAGAUAGGAAAAACAAACAAACAAAACAACAACAAAACCAAAGAGAAAUCUUUCAUCAUACAACAGGAAGUAGACCUGUGAAAUUCCUUGUUGAAAGACAUUAUGGGCACCAGGUGAAAUUGGACAUGCUGUUGAAAGAGAGAUCCACUGAGAAUCAAUGAAUAGGCAUAAAAAGGUGGUGCAGUUGAGGCAGUCUAGUAGUGCAGGUAAAGGAUGCCAUCCAGAGAGAUCUUGACAGGCUUGAGAGGUGGGCCUGUGUGAACCUCAUGAAGUUCAACAAGGCCAAGUGCGGAGUUCUGCAUCUGGAUCAGGGCAAUCCAAGCACAGAUGCAGUCUGGGCAGAGAACAGAUUGAGAGCAGCUGUGAGGAGAAGGACCUGGGGGUGUUGGUUGAUGAGAAGGUCAACAUGAGCUGGCAAUGUGUGCUUGCAGCCCAGAAAGCCAACAAAUCCUGGGCUGCAUCAAAAGCAGCAUGGCCUGAUUCUCCCCCUCUACUCUGCUCUCAUGAGCUCCCACCUGCAGUAUUGCCUUCAGCUCUGGGCUCCCAGCACAUGGACCUAUUUGAACGAGUCCAGAGGAGGGCUACGAGGAUGAUAAGGCACUGGAGCACCUCUCCUAUAGACAGGAUGAAGGAGUUGGGGUUGUUUAGUCUGGAGGAGACUGGGGAGACCUUAUAGUGGCUUUCCAGUCCCUGAACAGGCCUACAGGAGCUUGGGAGUGACUCUUUUUCAGUGAGCGUAGUGAUAGGACAAGGAGUAAUGGUUUUAAACUGAAAAAGAUGAAGACUAACUUCACUCCUAUAACUCAAGAAAAAUCUAUUUAGGAAAAAAUACAUCUCUUUCUGACCUCCCUACAUGUGUCAUUUUACAUCUAGCAACAUCAAUUCUAUACGUAGUACCUAAACAGUAGAUACUGAUACGUGUUGGAACAUCAUAUGUCAGGAGGAUUGUCGAUUACUUGGAAAGAAUCCAAAGAAAAGCAUUAGGAAGACAGUGAAGUAACGGAGAAGAUUGCUGAGGGGAACCUGUAAAGACUUCAUCUCUGAAUGUUUUUAAGAAUAAAAUAUCUUCUGGAAAUAACAUGAAGAUACAUGAUUCUGCAUAGGGACAAUAAGAACAUCUGGCUCAUGAAUCACCUUAUUGUUAGAGGUAAAGAGAGUAUUAGAGGAAAAGUAUAAUAUUCACUUCUCUUUUUCUUAUACUCUUCUUAGCACCUACUUAUGAACCCUACCAGGAGCAGGACAGUGGACCUUUGGCCUGACCAAGUACAACCAUUUCUCUGUUCUUAAAAGGAUUCCCUUUUGAGGUACUUUUAAACAAUAUUUUUUCCAUGGGUUAAUGAUGUCAUAGACUACUUUUCAAAUAAUUCAGUUAGAAGAGGAAGGUGGACAGGAAACCUGAAAAUUUGAGGAGAUAGAAAAAAGGACAUGUGAUCAACUCUUAGUGAAAGUGCCUUUCAGUGACAAUGUUGUUAUACUGAUCUUCUGUUUUUGUGAUGAAGGGAAUGGUUAUCUUUGUGAGAAGAAAAACUUAUCUCAAAGAUAAAAAGAUUUGAAAGUUUCAGUAAACAUUUAUUUUUAGAUUAUGUGAUUUUAAAAUAUUUUUUAGUUUUAAGGAAUAUUCAGAUUUAGACUCUAGUGUUUCUAGUCAAUAAAUGAUUCUUGAAUACUAGCGCCAUCUUUUUAUUAAGUUGGUAAGUGAAAAUUUUCAUCUGAGGAGCUGAAUAGAGUAAAACAGUUUGAAGAAGAAAGCAGAUGAGGGGAAGAUACUGUGUGCAAUCCCUACAGUAAGAGUAGCUAUUGUCAGGUACAAGAAUAAAGGAAAGCAGAUGGUCUGAUGUGCUGAAUGGGUGUUGAAUUAUGUAACUCAAGCAGAUAACAAAGUUUGUGUGAAUUGUAAAUUAUGAAGAUGACACUGAAAAACAGUGGUUGCAUAAACAGUAAAUUUGGUAAACUGAACACAUGCAGACCACAUACACUGAAAAUAGAUGAGCAGAAAAAAAUGUGAGAACAGUGAACUGCAAAUUCUUUGUAUAUGUUUAGCAGACACUACUCUCAGUAACAAAGGCUAUGAAAAAAACUUAAGGGAUAUGCUCAACUGAUAAUUGAUUGGCACUCUAUGCCCAAAAAUGUUUCAUAGAACAUAUGGGUAGUUCAAUUGUAAUACUCAUAGUUGAGAAAGGAGAUAGAAAUAUUGCAGACAGUAUGUAAAAGGAUUACAUGGUUAAACAAAUUAUUGAAAAAACAUGCCUUAGAGUGUAAGACACUAGAUCUUAACUUUCCCAAUUUAUUAAAACAAAAAGGAGUGAUUGAAUCACAAUGUUAACUGUGAGAAUGCUGGACACCUUCAUCUGACAGGUAAAGAUCCCACAAAAUCUGGUGGUGUAAAGAUACAGUUGCACAGAUUCCAUCUUCUGGGAGAAAGUAUUUAUCUCUGCUAGUUGCUCCAGGGUGGUUCUGGCACUGUCCUUAUGUGCAGUUCAGUGCAUCAAAAUAAGAAGCCUGAAUUUCUUCGAGUCAGUACAGAGUGGUUGGUGCUUCCAGAGUGGCUAUUAAGAGUGAAUAAAUUCACCUCUAAGUAACUGUAACAACUGAGAUGUUUUAUGCUUUUAUCUUACAGAAUGUCAGACUAGAUGAUCCCAUGAACCCUCAUGGCAUUAAAAUCUAUGUAUCUACAACUUACUAAGAAAUGAAAACAAAUGAGACUAACAGGGAAGCACCUACUAUUUUAUCAUAGUAUAUUAUAUUAUGUGACAGUUUACAGACAUUUUCACUUAAACAGUUCCUUUUAAAGAAUUAUGCUACACUUGUGACUUUCCAUUGUUCUGGUGCCAUAGCUGACUUUAACACUAAGCUCCAUACUACUGUACAUAAUUCAGCAAUUUUGUAUUUUAAUGUUUCUGGAAUUCUUACUUUAGUACUAUCUGGUUCAGGGAAUUUAAUUCUGUUUUCUUUUUUUUUUUCUUUUUUCCCCGAUUUGUUUCAAACAAGCUUUAUACUGAUAGUUCAAGCUUGAUGGAAGUUUUUCCAGACAUUCUCUUUUGUGUUUGAACAAAUAUAUUGAGUUUUUAAGAUUUGACAUGUUUAUCCUCAAAACCCUUUUUGUAUUAUAUUACUUUUAUUUCCCAGAGAUUCCCACAUUUGGACAUGAUUUCCAUUUUCCAAAGGAUGCCCUAAUAGCUUCCUCCAGUUGGCUAUUUCACCAUGUCAUUGUGUUUCCUGUUCUUUCAGAAUUUCAGUACUUCAUCAUUAAAAUAGAGGUAAUAAUUA